rnacentral:rRNA from 1 species
UACAGAGGUGGCAAGCGUUGUUCGGAAUUACUGGGCGUAAAGGGCGCGUAGGCGGCCUUGUCAGUCAGACGUGAAAUCCCCAGGCUUAACCUGGGAACUGCGUCUGAUACUACAAGGCUGGAGUUCGGGAGAGGAAUGUGGAAUUCCAGGUGUAGCGGUGAAAUGCGUAGAUAUCUGGAGGAACACCGGUGGCGAAGGCGGCAUUCUGGACCGAAACUGACGCUGAGGCGCGAAAGCCAGGGGAGCAAACGGGAUUAGAAACCCCCGUAGUCC